UGUGUGUUUGUGUGUGCGCGCGUGUGGAAAUUCACACAGCUUUGCCGUUUUGUUCGCGUGGAACGAGCACCCGGCCGGAGAAGAAGUCGGUUUUGGUCGUAUGAAACCGAAAAAAUGUUUAGAACAACAAUACGCAGUAAAUAAUAAUUGAUGCAAAUGAAAUACAAAAUAUACGGACAUAUACGGUAUAGUGUGAUGGAGACCGGACCUGCAGAUGCGGCUAAGCCGGACGGUCGCAGUGCGGUGGACGAUGAUGUAUACACGGAACGGAAUUAAAUCGUAAUCGUUAAAUCGCGUACACGCACGGACGGACGACAGCUAAAUUAAUAUAAAUCGCUGGCGUUUUAUUAUCAUGACCGACGUCGUCACUCUGUGUAUCGACGCCUCGGGCAAUUAAUAACAACAAAAAACGCAACACGAAUAUAUUUAUAAUAAUACGAUAUUCCUAUAAUCAAACGCACGGUCUGUAUGCGACUUCACGAAUCCGACGGCGUAUAGGACGAUUGUUCAGGCCCAGAUUCACACUGAUGCAAUGGGUGCGUGUGCACUUCGAUCCGAUACUCUGGGAACUCCAUAUUAUUUAAAACAAUAUUAUUUAAUUGUAAAUAUUUUGAUUUUUUUUUCUUUUUCAUUAAUAUGCUAAAUAUAUAUAUAUACCUAUGUUUUUAA